AAGUGAACUUUAACAGGCCUUCCAACCACUGUUGCAGAUCUUGAGCCUCAUCAGAUUCAUUCAUUCUAUGAAUCGGUUGGUCAUAUGAUUCAUGCAGAAUCUGAUCCUCAGAAGAGGGAUGAGUUUCUACAGAGAUUGAUGGAGCUGCCUAAUCAGAAAUGGGCUGAAAUUCUAGGACAGGCACGCUUAAG